GUGGGGAAUAUUGGGCAAUGGGGGAAACCCUGACCCAGCGACGCCGCGUGAGGGAAGAAGGCCUUAGGGUCGUAAACCUCUGUUGUGUGGGAAGAAGAGCGUGACGGUACCACACGAGGAAGUCCCGGCUAACUACGUGCCAGCAGCCGCGGUAAUACGUAGGGGACGAGCGUUGUCCGGAUUUACUGGGCGUAAAGGGCGCGUAGGCGGUCAUUUAAGUCAGCUGUGAAAUGGUGCGGCUUAACCGCAUCAUGCGGUUGAAACUGGAUGACUGGAGUGCUGGAGAGGCAAGUGGAAUUCCCAGUGUAGCGGUGAAAUGCGUAGAUAUUGGGAAGAACACCGGUGGCGAAGGCGACUUGCUGGCCAGCAACUGACGCUGAGGCGCGAAAGCCAGGGGAGCAAACGGGAUUAGAAACCCUUGUAGUCC
rnacentral:rRNA from 1 species